GUUCAAUCCACCCGGUAUAAUGUAAUCUUAUUAUUGUGCAAAUGCAAGUGUAUAAGUAAGCCUAUGACAGCACCAACAACUCACAAAUGCUAGCCUAUUCGGGUACACAAAGGUGGUGGUGUAUAUUUUUACAGCGAGAGAGGUCCUCGACGACAUCAAAGAUGACGCCUAGAAAGGAAAAGCGAAAAACACCGUACAACAUCUUAAGAAACUAAUUUCCUAUCCUAAACAAUAAUGAUGUUGGUCCGGUGCAGUAGUGAUGCGCUACUGGAAAUAUUCCUUAAAAAAAAAAAAAAAGAGUUUAUUUAUACACACAGGGUGUUCGAAAACGGGCAUUUUUUAGAGCCGUUAUUGAUUUUUUGACUUUGGAUGUUGGUAGGUUUUGUUUUAUACACAUUUAAUUGCUUAAAUCCAAAAUUAUACCUUUAGUACUUUGCGCAUACUUAUAAAAUUUAAAUGGGAACCAUCAUAUUUUUUGGGAUAUUCUGUUUCAAACACUCUUUGGUACCAUACUGUUCAAAAGUUAUUGCUAUUUAAAAUUUGCGUUAGUGCUCUGUUUAGAAGUAUAUAAUAUUGUAGGUAUAUUCAAAUCAGAUAAUUUGGUGUGGUUUUUAUA